rnacentral:rRNA from 1 species
GGUUGUGAUCAUACCAGCACUAAUGCACCGGAUCCCAUCAGAACUACGCAGUUAAGCGUGCUUGGGCGAGAGUAGUACUAGGAUGGGUGACCCCCUGGGAAGUCCUCGUGUUGCAACCC